UACGUAGGGUGCGAGCGUUAAUCGGAAUUACUGGGCGUAAAGCGUGCGCAGGCGGUUCGUUAGGUCAGAUGUGAAAGCCCCGGGCUCAACCUGGGAACUGCAUUUGAAACUGGCGGGCUUGAGUAUGGCAGAGGGGGGUGGAAUUCCGCGUGUAGCAGUGAAAUGCGUAGAGAUGCGGAGGAACACCGAUGGCGAAGGCAGCCCCCUGGGCCAAUACUGACGCUCAGGCACGAAAGCGUGGGGAGCAAACAGG
rnacentral:rRNA from 1 species